AAAGAAAAAGGAAAAAUCGUGACAGAUCUGUAAGUGUAUUGUCUCUCCCCGUGCUUCCAGGGAGGACACCGUGGAGAGGAGAGGAGAGGAGAGGAGAAAUGGCGGUUGUAAGGGUCGAGUCAUCGUGACAACAGGACAGGACAGGACACCUUCUUCUUCUUCUUCUUCUUCUUCUUCUUCUCUUUUAAAGAAUAUAAUUUCGGCAGUUUGUUAUUAAUAGGAUAAUAAUAAUAAUAAAGAAUAUAGAUCAUAAGCUAUCUUAACUGCGAGGUUUUCCUUCUUUUUAUACCCUUUCCAUUCCAAGCUUCCCUUCCUUCCUUAUGCCAACACCUGCUGUGGCUUAAUUAAUUAAAAUGACGACAAGAACAAUGAGGAGGAGACUACAUCAUGGUGACGUUGAUGGAAAAAGGAACGACGAACUUUUUGAUUCUUCUGAGGUUGAUGGUUUAAGCGAACCUUUACUCGGCAAUCACAUUGAUGAUUCUUCUGUUCCCGUACCCAUACUUGAAGAUCUAUGGGACGAUGAACGGAGGAAGCAGCACAUUCACUGGACUUUUGUGUUUUCGCAAUUGAUUGCGCAGUGGGCGCAAUGGUUAGCAAAUAUUGUGCUAGGUUCUGGAUCACUUAUUGCACGGCUUUUGCCUCUUUCUUCUCUCAGUCAAAAUGGAUCAAACAGGAAGCUUCUUCAACCUUCUCUUAGUCCUUUACAGGAAGCAAGACUUCGAGAUCUGCAGCAAAGGUUGGGAGUUCCCUUUGAUGGUUCUCAGGCAGAGCAUCAAGAUGCACUUAAAAAAUUAUGGAGGCUUGCUUACCCCGAUAGAGAGCUCCCGUCUUUAAAGUCUGAGCUUUGGAAAGAUAUGGGUUGGCAAGGCUCAGACCCAUCAACUGAUUUUCGGGGUGGAGGAUUUAUAUCACUGGAGAAUCUGAUCUUUUUUGCCAAGAAAUAUCCGGACUCAUUCCAGAGAUUGUUGAACAAAAGAGAUGGAACUAGAGCUGAGUGGGAGUAUCCCUUUGCUGUGGCUGGCGUUAACAUUUCUUUUAUGCUGGCGCAAAUGUUGGAUCUUCAGACAGGGAAGCCAUCCACUCUGGCAGGAGUCAGAUUCUUAGAACUACUAGCAGACGAUGAAAUGGCAUUUGACAACCUUUAUUGCAUAGCAUUUCAAAUGAUGGAUGCUCAGUGGCUUGCAAAGCGGGCUUCAUAUAUGGAAUUUAAUGAUGUUUUGAAGUCUACAAGGACGCAGUUAGAGCGGGAGCUUUCCCUUGAAGAUGUCUAUACCGUGAAAGAUUUACCGGCAUACAAUAUGCUGACGGGAUAAUACGACAAUACAGUGUAAAAAUAAAUAAAAAGUUUCCCUGUCCAGCUGUGGAAUUGAUACAUGUAGCGUUGCAAUCAAAUCUCGGCCCUAUUUUCUUAUGUCUCCUCAGAUGAUGAUCUUGUGUUGUAAACUUGUUUCCUGCUGGAACCUUUAGGAGUAUCCAGAGGGCAUGAGUGGCCAGCAUGGCGGGUUCGAUGCUGUUAUGUUAUGUUAAUAUAUGACUGGGAUAAAGAGAACAUAGAUUUCAUUGUAGAGCAUUGUUAUGGAAAACGAAUUUUGUCGCUUGAAAGCUAAAACGUGAUCUUCAGGAGAUGAAACCGAUCAUAUAUUAAAUGAUUGCGAGUGCUUUGUGCUGCUCUCAA